rnacentral:precursor_RNA from 10 species
UGGUUACAUUCCAAAAUUCUGUUGAUGCGACAGUCCAGGUGGUUGAGAUGCGUUUCUUUUUGAAAAUGGUCGUAUCACAGCCUGCUUGGAUUAUGGCAGCAAUAGACAAGCAGCACAGCUUCUAA